rnacentral:rRNA from 1 species
GCGGCGGACGGGUGAGUAACACGUGGGCAACCUGCCCUGCAGACUGGGAUAACUUCGGGAAACCGGAGCUAAUACCGGAUAACACCGAAAACCGCAUGGUUUUCGGUUGAAAGGCGGCUUUUACCUGUCACUGCAGGAUGGGCCCGCGGCGCAUUACCUAGUUGGUGAGGUAACGGCUCACCAAGGCAACAAUGCGUAGCCAACCUGAGAGGGUGACCGGCCACACUGGGACUGAGACACGGCCCAGACUCCUACGGGAGGCAGCAGUAGGGAAUCUUCCGCAAUGGACGAAAGUCUGACGGAGCAACGCCGCGUGAGCGAAGAAGGUCUUCGGAUCGUAAAGCUCUGUUGUCAGGGAAGAACAAGUGCCGUUCGAACAGGGCGGUACCUUGACGGUACCUGACGAGGAAGCCACGGCUAACUACGUGCCAGCAGCCGCGGUAAUAC